rnacentral:lncRNA from 1 species
UCUUUGCAAGGUAACAGGAGAAAUCAAGCUCAGUAGUGUUGCUUCUUGAACUCCAGUUCCUAUGAUAUAAAGCAAGUAAAUGAACGUCACCCAACAAAGCAUAUGCCCUUGUGUUCAUUCUCACUGAAAAUUUAAAAGGAAACAGUGAAAUAGUACUUAGUGUCGCAGUAGGUGUCCAGAAAAGACCAAUCUCCUAGAUUUGUAUCAGUAUGUGAGGCAAUAAUAAGUGGCUAUGGCCGUAUGCUCCUCUUGCUCUUCCAUGCAUCGAGGUAAGAAUCUGCUUUGCUCGAGAUAUAGAAUCAGCACUAAAACAAGAUGAAACAUCAGGCACCAUAUGCAAAAAGUUCAUGCACAUGCAAAUGAAUUACUUGCAGGUAAAUUUUAAAUUCAACCAAAAGUGGUGACACACAGCAAGAAGACCUCAACAGAACUAUUAUGGCUUUUAGUGGAAAUCCCACCUUUUUUCUUCAGAAAAUACAUACCCAAACAAUUCAACAGUUUUAUCGUGUGAAAGCAAUCAUCUAUUCAUCCAUAAAUGUUUUCUUCGAACGACCCGCCAUCACGGUUGCAUUCAGAGGUGCAUGCUAAUUGAUAGUCAAUCAAAGGAACUCCAAUGUAGAGCUCAAACUUACAGUAGGCAGAGGUUGAUGAUUAUAGGCUUAGUUCAAAAGUUGCAUUAUUUUCUCAUAAAAAAUAAUACUGUAACAGGCAGGUCCGUGAGGAAGAAUGUCAAAAAAACUGCUAAAAAUAAUUUUGAGCCUAAAUAGUACAUGAACAUAUGCCCAAAAUGUAAUUCACCUCUUUGCAUAUGCCCUUGUGUUCAUUCUCACUGAAAUUUUAGAAGGGAAAAGUGAAAUAGUACUUAGUGUCGCAGCAGGUGUCCA